GGAGGAAAAGAAACUAACAAGGAUUCCCCUAGUAACUGCGAGUGAAGCGGGAAGAGCUCAAAUUUAAAAUCUGGCAGUCUCUGGCUGUCCGAGUUGUAAUUUAGAGAAGUGUUGCCCGCGCUGGACCCGUAUACAAGUCCUCUGGAAUGGGGUGUCAUAGAGGGUGAGAAUCCCGUCUUUGAUACGGACUACCAGUGCUUUGUGGUGCGCUCUCGAAGAGUCGAGUUGUUUGGGAAUGCAGCUCAAAAUGGGUGGUAAAUUCCAUCUAAAGCUAAAUACAGGCGAGAGACCGAUAGCGAACAAGUACCGUGAGGGAAAGAUGAAAAGAACUUUGGAAAGAGAGUUAAACAGUACGUGAAAUUGCUGAAAGGGAAACGCUUGAAGUCAGUCGCGUUGUUCAAGAAUCAGCCUUGCUUUCUUGCUUGGUGUACUUUUUGUUCAAUGGGUCAACAUCAGUUUUGACCACUGGAUAAGGGCCAGGGAAAUGUGGCAUCUUUAGAUGUGUUAUAGUCUCUGGUCAUAUACAGUGGUUGGGACUGAGGAACUCAGCAUGCCGAAAGGACGAGUCUUUUAAGACUACGUUACAUGCUUAGGAUGUUGGCAUAAUGGCUUUAAUCGACCCGUCUU
rnacentral:misc_RNA from 1 species